rnacentral:rRNA from 1 species
UACGUAGGGCGCAAGCGUUGUCCGGAAUUAUUGGGCGUAAAGAGCUCGUAGGCGGCCUGUUGCGUCCGCUGUGAAAUCCCGGGGCUCAACCCCGGGCCUGCAGUGGAUACGGGCUGGCUAGAGGCAGGCAGGGGAGAACGGAAUUCCUGGUGUAGCGGUGAAAUGCGCAGAUAUCAGGAAGAACACCCGUGGCGAAGGCGGUUCUCUGGGACGGUACUGACGCUGAGACGCGAAAGCGUGGGGAGCGAACAGG